rnacentral:rRNA from 1 species
UACGAAGGGGGCUAGCGUUGCUCGGAAUCACUGGGCGUAAAGGGCGCGUAGGCGGCCAUUCAAGUCAGAGGUGAAAGCCCAAGGCUCAACCUUGGAAUUGCCUUUGAUACUGUUUGGCUUGAGACCGGAAGAGGUAAGUGGAACUGCGAGUGUAGAGGUGAAAUUCGUAGAUAUUCGCAAGAACACCAGUGGCGAAGGCGGCUAACUGGUCCGGUUCUGACGCUGAGGCGCGAAAGCGUGGGGAGCAAAC